rnacentral:lncRNA from 1 species
UAACAGGGUGGUAUCAUGUUCUCCUUUGCCUCUUAAAGUUUGUAUCUUGAUAUGAUCAAUAGUGUUUCUAUUCUUGUUGGAUACUGGAUCACACAAGUACCAGGUAUUAGUGCACCAAAGAAAAGAGGUUGCUAUGUGUUGGUCGAAUAAUAUAUUGGUCAAAUUAGUGUACCAUUAGAAUCUUAAUUGAUGCUGAGCGUGUUCUUUUAUUACAGAAAGUGUAACACUUUAUACAUUGGAUGGUAACUGGCCUACACUCGUUCUUUACCAAUUCAGCAUGAAACAGAUAUUGAAGAGUUCACAUGCUUGAUUAAGAUGCCCUUUAAAUUUGUAUCCGUCUUACACACAUUCCUUGCCGGUUCUGCAUAAUUAUUUUUUCUGAAGAGUCUGCUUACUUGGUUGUCAAUGCAUCAGAUUUUUAACAAGCUCAGGAUGUAAAAAUUGGUGCAGAGUGAAACUAAUUUCUAGUGCUUUAAUAUCGUAUGGGAAAAUGACCUAUGAGACUUGAGAAAUUUUGACUUUGUUUUUACAAGGAAAAAGUGCCAAGUUAUUUUUUUCUCAACCAGUAUCGGGUAAUUUGUCUACAAAUGAAGUUCUUGUUCCAGGGCUUUAUAUUUUCAUUAAGACCAUCAGAUGUGCUGCAACUUACAGGCUAAUUUCAUUAAAGAUUUUAUGUCAAGGAUAAACCGCUUUCUGUUAGACUUGCCUUCUCCUCAACAAAAUAUUCACUAUCUCUAUUUCUCUAAACAUGGUGAUUUAUAUCGAAUAUGAUGCAUUGAUAGGAACUAACUACAGGAUUUUUGUAGUAGUGUACAAUAAGGUAACAAGUUGCAUUACCAUUUUUCGUCAUGUGUUAAUGUCUGAUAAUGUAUCACAUGGAAGCUCCUUAUCUUUACAUGCUUACUGUUUAUCCAGAAUUUGAAGUGCACUACCUGGCCAUUCCAGACUUUGAACAGUAGUGAUUCUAGACGAUUGAUACAAUUCAGAUUUUUAACAAGUUCAGAAUGUGAGAGUCGGUGCAGAGACAAACUAAUUUCUUGUGUUUUUAAUAGCAUUAUGGCAAAAGGGCCUAUGGGACUUGAUUUUUUUUUUAUCAUUGUUCUUACAAGGCAAAAGUGGCAAGGUCAUUUUUUCUUUCUCAAACCAGUAUCAGGUAGUUUGUCUAGAAAUGAAGUUUUUGUGCCGGGGCUUUAUAUUGUUAUAAGAAUAUAUCAGACGUGCUGCAUCUUAACAGUCCUAAUCCUUGAAGACUAAUGUCAUCAGAGACUUGAUGUUAAGGAUAAACCUCUUUCAACUAGACUUGCCUUAUCCUGAAAGCAUUCACUAUCUGUAUACAUGGUGGUUUAUACUGAAUUUAACAAAUUGUGAGGAAGUAGCCACAGUAUUUUUUUUUUUGAAAUAAUUUACGAUAAGGUAACAAGUCGAUGGACCAUUUUUCCUGAUGUGCUACUCAGCGAAGGAAGGAUAAUUCAUCUGAUAAUGUGCUAUCAAAUGGAUGCUCCUUCUCUUUACGUACAUGCUCACUGUUUAUCCAGAAUUCGAAAUGCACUACCUGAUCAUUUGGACUUCCCUAGUUGAUACAGGAAAGACAGUUUCACCCUGAACCUGAAUCACAUUCAUUUCUUCAGUACUGUAAGGCUUCAGGAUCCUGACGUCAGUGAUGGACAGUUACCUCCAUUUUGUGAUUGCUUUGUAGUUUUUGGUUGAAUAAUAUAUUGGUCUAAUUAGUGUACCAAUAGAACCUUAAUUGAUGCUGAGCAUGU